rnacentral:rRNA from 1 species
UACGGAGGAUCCGAGCGUUAUCCGGAUUUAUUGGGUUUAAAGGGUGCGCAGGCGGGAGAUUGAGUCGGCGGUGAAAUUUUGCAGCUCAACUGUAAAAGUGCCUUCGAAACUGGUUUCCUUGAGUGUAGAUGAAGUAGGCGGAAUUUGUGGUGUAGCGGUGAAAUGCAUAGAUAUCACGAGGAACUCCGAUUGCGCAGGCAGCUUACUAAACUACUACUGACGCUCAGGCACGAAGGCGUGGGGAUCAAACAGGAUUAGAUACCCGCGUA